GAGCGGCAGUCGCACCGCGCGCACUCGUGUCCAACGCAGCGGGAGGGAAUAAACGAAGGCGACGCCCUUCAGCGGCCAGCGCACUGCGAGUGUGUCCUGCUUGCGCGCUGAGCUGCGUUGAACUCGGCCACUGGACUUGCAGGAGGUGCUCAUCAUCUGCGUUUGACCGCAGCCCUGCGUGGACGCGCCUGCGUCGAAGAAGCCUCCUUCACCACCCACCGUUGCACCUCACCGCCUGCUUUUUGCACCCUCCGCUUGCAGGCCGCGUCUUCUGAUCCACGCACGAUCACACUCAUACACGCAUAGAUUGCAGCAACAACCCUUCCUUCCACCCUGCGGCACCACCCGCGCAUCUUCGCAAGCAGCGCAGCAGCGGCGUUUCACCAUGCUCACCAAUCGCACUCUGACGGAGGAGCAGACGAUUAUUCGGCGGCACUUCACCGACUUCUUCGAGAGUGAGCGCUAUGAAGAGAAGUACCAUGCACGCAUCCAGGCGAUGAUCGUUGCUGGCAAGGCGCGGCUGCUGCUAGACAUUGGCGACUUCCUCGACUAUGUCCCCAUCAGCGCCGGCGGAGAUGGUGGCGACGGCGCCGGCACUGGUGGGGCUGGCAGCGAGCUGGGACUGUCGCUGGGUGCCAACAUUAUCCGCCAGCCAAGCAAGUAUAUUCCUCUUUUGGAGUUAGCUCUUCAUGAUGUCGUACUUCGGCAGCAGCCCGAGUACCUAAAAGUCGACUACCGCUCUCGCGCCGUGCACGCCGGCUUCGAGGGCCCCGUUGGUCGCGUUCUGUCGCCACGCGAGCUCUACGCGCGUCACCUGAACACUAUGGUCGCGCUAGAGGGCAUCGUGACGCGGCAGUCGACGAACCGGCCGCGCGUUCUCGAGACGGUGCACUACUGCGUCGAGACGAACAAGUUCACAAAGAAGGAGUUCCGAGAUCAGCUGACGCCGAUGAUCGACAGCUCACAUCUGCCUACGGUGAACGUGAUGCCCAAGACGGACAUUGAGGGCCACGCCCUGCGCACAGAGCUUGGCUUGUGCACCUUCAUGGACUCGCAGUGUGCGGUGCUGCAGGAGGCACCGGAGCGCGCACCGACCGGGCAGUUGCCCCGCAACGUCGAAGUGCGCUUUGAUGACGACCUCGUCGACGCUGUGAAGCCGGGCGAUCGCGUACUGCUUGUCGGUGUGUACAUGCCAUACACGACGUCGGACAGCAAGAGCUUCCAGUCCAUCGUGCUGGUGAACCACGUCGUGCCGACGCAGGCCUUCACCUUCCUCUCCCGCCCCAUCCCAUCCGUGGAGGAUCGGCUCACUCGCUUUGCGCAAAGGUGUGCCGAGCAGCUGGGCCCCGGUGGCGUACUGGAGACACUCUCCAGGGCAGUUGCCCCUACCAUCUACGGCAUGACCGCUGCGAAGCAGGCCAUCUUACUGAUGAUGGUUGGCGGUGUGGAGCGCAAGUCGCACAACUCGCACGUGCGUGGUGACAUCAACGUCCUCCUCGUUGGUGAGCCGUCGACAGCCAAGUCGCAGCUGCUACGCUUUGUCCUCGGCAUCGCACCGCUCGCCCUGAGUACGACCGGCAAGGGCUCCUCCGGUGUCGGGCUGACGGCGGCCGUGGCGACGGACAGCUACACGGGCGAGCGGUCGCUGAGCGCUGGGGCGAUGGUGCUGGCGGACCGCGGCAUCCUCUGCAUUGACGAGUUCGAUAAGAUGGGCUCGCAAGACCGGGUAGCGAUGCAUGAAGCGAUGGAGCAGCAGACGGUCACGAUCGCCAAGGCUGGCAUUCACGCAUCGCUGAAUGCCCGGUGCAGCGUGUUGGCGGCAGCGAACCCCAUUUACGGCUUCUACAGCGUGCAGCACCGCUUGGCAUUCAACGUCGGCCUGCCCGAGUCUCUGCUCUCCCGUUUCGACUUGACCUUCAUCAUUUUAGAUCAGCAUGCUUCGGACUACAACCGUCGCAUUGGCUAUCACAUUCUGCGCAACCACAUGACCGCGGAGGCCGUCAGGUACGACGAAGUCGACUCACGGACGGUGGUUGACAGCGUCGAGGCCGGCAGCGGACGUGAAAGCAGCGGAGCCGAGCUGGACGGCCGUGAUGGGCGUCGGGGUGGUCGGGGCGUAGACGGCGAGGAUGGUGGCAGCGGUGAAAGCCGUCUUGACUUGCGCAUGACGACGAACAGCACCGGUGAGUCGAUUGUCAGCAUCGACUUUUUGCGAACCUUUCUGCAGAUGGCAAAGCGCGGGUCGCCGCUGCUGACCGAGGUGUCGCGCGAUCUCGUGUGCCAGCACUACGUGCAGCUGCGCGCGGAGCAGCAGGAUGGCGGGCGCGACGGUUUUUUCAUCACCCCGCGUACGCUUGACGCAAUUGUGCGUCUGUGCACUGCGCACGCCAAGCUUCGCCUCUCGCCGACGGUGGAGGAGUCGGACGUGACGGCGGCGAUGGCUCUCCUGCGGGCCUCCGUGAACGCCGCGACGACGGCGACGCAGCAGCGCAAGGAUGACAAUCAACUUUCGCUCUCGGAGGCGGCCGCCGGUGUUGCUGGAGCGGCACUGGCGCCUGGUCAGAAGCGUCCAAACGCCGCCAUGGAGGUGGUGGGGGCACAGAACCGCGCGAGCAAGGCAGGCGCCUACCUCAGCAGCGGCACCGAGGAGUACGUCGCCGACAAGGCGUCAGGCAGGAGCUCGCAUCAACGUCUGCGCACCGAAAGCGCCCUCGUCGGCGACAGCGGUCGUGCUAGCGGCGAAGCGGCGGCAGCUGUCUCAGAUGCGGCACCUGCAGUCACUACUGGCAUCUUCAGUAACGCCGCAGUUGCUGCAGUCGACAUCAAUCUCAGUCGGCGCGUGAUCGAAGCGCUGAAGCAACUGCAGCGCGAGCAACGGGAUGGCGUGUCACUGGAUGAGCUACAUGAGCGCCUAGGUGGGCACACGAUCUCGGCAGAGUCGCUGAAGCUCUCCGUGAUGCAGCUGCAAGGGGACGCCUUCAUCUUUGAGAGUACCGAAGACGGCGGCAGCAACACGAUCCAGUUCAUUUAAGCUGUGCGGUGGGGUGGGGGGGGGCGGGGCAGGGGGUGAUGAAAGACGCACCUCCUCACGUUUAGCAAUGCCCUCACUUUUUCUCUUUCCUGGUGGUGUAAUCGCGUGCAUUGUCAGCGCGCGUGCGCUCCGCCUCUCUCUCUUCCUUUUUCCUGUGCAUCGAUAAUGAUAGGGACGAUGAAUGAGUUGAGAUUUCGAGUGGCUGUGCCGCCUCUCUCGUUCUUACCCACACACGCACACACAGAUAUAAAUCUAUGUAGAUCUAUUUGUCUGCCUGGUUAUCACCAAUAGACGCGCAACUCCCGCCUGGAGCUGUUGCUGCGCACGCUGUUGUUGGCAUUCUAUUCCCUUUGCAUGUGUCCUGCGGAAAUGCUGAUAUGUUCGUCUCUCACGUUCUCUCUUUUUUUUUUCGCGCGUGUGUGCGUGCGUGUCGAGGCGGCGGAAGGGCUUAGCGUGGGGGGGAGACGGAUGGGGGGGGGAACCCCCUGCCCAGUGAGACGCAGGCCGUGGCACUAGCUUCUUUGUCGUUGUUGUUUCUGUGUCGAGGAACCGCCAGGACUGUGAAAACGGCUCGCAUCACUGUUGUCCCCAAGUCGGCCUUAGCCCACGCCCCUUCCCCUACCCUCGCACCGUUGCACUCGACGACGAGAGAGUGAGAGAGGUAGGAGGGCGUUGUUGCCUCAAUGCGUGUCGGUGUAUCAGUGUGAGUGUGUAGUCGUUAUCUUUUCCCUUUUCUUCGACAACAUCUCUCGCUACGCAGGAAGUUGUGACUCCGACGGAAACGAAUGGGCCAACCGCGUACGGCGAGAAGACCGGCAGCACGCGAAGUGAUCGAGAUUAGAAAUGGAUGCGUCAGCGAGGUCGAGCGGACACCGUCGUCAGAUGCGGUCCCUCACUCUCUCCCCC
rnacentral:misc_RNA from 1 species